rnacentral:lncRNA from 1 species
UGAAGUUUCCAAACUAGGGGUCAAAUUGGAGCUGCAGGCCUACGUCACAGCAACAAAGCAGCACCAGAUUUGAGUCACAUCUGCUACCUACACCACAGCCUGUGUAAACACCAGAUCCUUAACCUACUGAGUGAGGCCCAGGAUUGAACCUGCAUCUUCAUGGGGACUACAUCAGGUUCUUAACCUGAUGAGUCACAACGGAAACCCCAGGUUUUAUUUUUAAAAACCUUUAUUCACAGGCCAUUUAUAUAAAUUUCACUUUUUGCCAAACUUUCAUUCAAAUACAAGUAUUUCCUUCAGUCUCAUCAUCUAGUUUCACUUGCUGAUAAAUACAAAAUUAGAAUAUUGGCUACUUAACAUGAAUUUCCUUGAAAUACUCAGUUAACUAUUAACAAAAUUAUCUGAUGAUGCUGGCUGAACAUUAAAAUACUAUCCAAAAUGUAAAAAUUUCCAAACCAUACUUAGGAUUACUAAAGGGGCAAGGUUGGGAGGGAUAAAUUAGGUUGGGAUUAACAUACAUAUACUAUAUAAAAAAUAGAUAAUAACGAGGUCUCACUGUAUAGCUCAUAGGGAAAUCUACUCAAUACUCUGUAAUAACCUGUAUUAUGUAUCACUUUGCUGAACACCUGAAACUAACACAACACUGUAAACCAACUAUAAUCCAAUAAAAUUUCAAAAAUCAAAUUAACCUACUUCUAAUCUUUCAAUUUCUCUUUGUAGGCAGGAUUUUUUUUUUAAAUUGAUGUAUAACUGACAUACAGUAUAUUAGUUCCAGGUGCAUAACAUAAUGAUUCCCUAUUUGUAAACACUGUGAAAUGAUCACAAACAGUUACUACCCACUAAAUUUCUUUUUUGGCUUUGUGUCUUUUCAGGGCCGCACCUAUGACAUAUGGAGGUUCCCAGGCUUCACGCCACAGCCGCAGCAACACCCGAUCCAUAACCCACUGAGCAAGGCCAGGGGCUGAACCCAGCCACCUCAUGGUUCCUAGUCAGAUUGUUUCCCCUGCACCACAACGGGACCUCCACUAUCCACUAAAUUUCUUAUCCUGACAAAUACAACAAGUAUUUCCUUCAGUCUCAUCAUCUAGUUUCACUUGCUGAUAAAUACUAAGCCGAAGCACAUGUUAAAUUUCAAAUAGUUUAAAAGUUUCUACAGUUUAAUAGUUUAAACGUUUUAAACAGCUAGUACUAGGUCAUGUUUUCCAAAACAAAACCAAAACCUUUCCUUCAUUCGAUCUUAGACAUACAGCAGGUACAUAAGAUGUUUUGUUUUUGGAGGGCUGCACCCACAGCUUGCAGAAGUUCCCAGGCCAGAGAUUAAACCACAGCCACAACAGUGACCAUGCCAGAUCCUUAACUGGCUGCACCAGAAAAGAACUCAAAGAUGUUCUUGAUUAGAUAAAGUACCUAAACUCUGUAAUUUUUUAAAAAGGGAACUAAUGUCAACUCAGCAUUCCUUUGUAGAAUUCCUGAUGCAAACUGUUAAUUUGAGACCACCUUCCCUGUUACAAGUGCAUUCUAUGUUACCUUCCUGUAUAUCUAAUUAAAUUCUGCUACAAACCAUAUAGAGCACACAAAUAUUUAGGGUGAGGCAGCGUAUUCCACUUGGGUAGUAACUUGUUUUGUUUAAUGGUCCUUAUAUACAUACACCAUUAUUUCUCAAUCAUCAAUCUUUUGCCUUCCCAUCCACGAUACUGAUUUGAUAUGCUCCCAUACUGAAAAGCUUACAUGUCCCCAAAAGGCUUUAAAAAGGUGGGUUCUUGCCAUUAAAUCCAGAUAUCCCAGUUUACAAUUAGCAGACAACUCAGUCUACACUGUACAAGAAAAACAUUCUCUCCUAUGCAUUAAGUAAUCAUAUAAUUGACCAAAUAAAAAUUGGGGGGAAGGGGUGAGUCAGCCAAGUGAAAAGACAGUAUAACUUCAUGAAAACGAAUGCUGACAAAAAGCAGAAAAGGAUAACUACCUAAUUAAUAGAAGAACAAAGUGCUUCUAAAUUAAAUUCAUCAUUAAUAUCUGUAAUUUUAUAACAUCAUCCAGGAGUUCCCAUUGUGGCUCAGCAGAAACAAACCCAACUAGGAUCCACGAGGAUGCAGAUUCAAUCUCUGGCCUCCCUCAGUGGGUCAAAGAUCUGAAGUUGUCGAGUGUGUGGUGUAGGUUGCAGAUAAGGCUCAGAUCUGGUGUUGCUACAGCUGUGGCUCCAAUUCAACCCCCAGCCUGGGAACUUACACAUGCCACACGUUUGGCCCUAAAAAAGGCGGAAAAAAAAACAAAAAAAAAAAACAAAAUACAGAUCACCCAGAAGUUCCUGUUGUGGCUCGGAAGUAACAAGCCUGACUGGUAUACAGGAGAUGGAUGCAGGUUCAAUCUCUAGCCUCUUUCAGUGGGUUAAGGUCCGGCGCUGCCUCAAGUUGUGGUGUAUGUAGGUCACAGACAUGGCUUGGAUCCCCCUUUGCUGUGACUGUGCCACAGGCCAGUAGCUGCAGCUCUGAUUUGACCCCAUCCUGGUAACUUUCAUUUGCUGUGGGUGCAGCCCUACAUAGCAAAAGCGAGUAAAAAUUUAAAAACAUCCAAAAUCUCUUAAAAUAUUCCUAGAAAAGCAAACAUAACACUCAGCAAAACUACUUGUCAUCAGCCUCAGAAUACUUAAAUCUUAGACCAAGAAAGAGCCUAAGAAAGAAAUGACCUCAUAUUUAAGAUUAGACUAUGGAGAGGGAACAUUUUGGGCUAAUAAUCUGAAAAUACUUAGCUAGAGAAAGCUAAAUUCUUGAAAAGCGGCUGAGCAAUCCACUAUAAUUGCACUGUCCAUUUGGUAGCCAUUAGCCACGUCACUACUGAGCACUGGAAAUGCAAUCAGCCCAGAAUGAGAUGUGCUGCAACUGUAAAAUACACUCUAGAUUUCAAAGACAUAGUACAAAACAACAACAAAAAAAGGCAGUGACUCUCGUUUUGUCGUCGUUGUUUGCUGUGUCUGUGGCAUGUGGAAGUUCCUGGGCCAGUAGCAAACUGGGCUGGUUCAGUGACAACACUGGAUCCUUAACCUGCUGCACCACAAGGGAAUUCCUAGCUCUCCUUUGAUCUAAGUGAUUGUGCAAUGCUUAGAACAUCUAUACAGUCAACAACAAUGCAAUGACCAGGCCUCCCUUAUCCAGUCCUGAGGUCAUGUAAAGGUAAUGUUGAUAACUCCUAACUGGGGAUCUGGAUUCUAUUUAGACAUGGAAAAUUCAUUGAUAGUUAAUAUUCUGGAAUGGAGAAGAUCCUUUAUUGUCUAAGUAAAAACUUCUCAAACUAUUAAAAAUAUUACAUGAUUAAGAUGCUUGCUGGGAGUUCCCGUCAUGGCUCAGCAGUUAGCGAACCGACAAGCAUCCAUGAGUAAGUGGGUUCCAUCCCUUGCCUUGCUCAGUGGGUUAAGGAUCCAGCGUUGCCAUGAGCUGUGUAGGUCACAGACUCAGCUCAGAUAUCCUGCUGCUGUGGCUGUGAUGCAGGCUGGUGGCUACAGCUCCAUUUCAACCCCUAGCCUGGGACCCUCCAUAUGCCUCCGGUGCAGCCCUAAAAUGACAAAAAAAAUAACUAAAAAGCAUGCUGGUCACUGAUAGCAAAUUUACUUCCCCAACUCCUGAAUACUAAAGUGAGGAGAACAUUUUCCACCAAAUAUAACAGGGCUACUUUUAACACUCUUAGGAGAACACUAGUGCUAUAAACAAAAAAAAUACCCAUCAGAAGGGCUGUUUUUCAAACUUUUCCAAAUACCCUCAAAAAAGGUAUUUUUACAGGAGCAAAUACGUAUAUAGCUGAAUUAACAGUUUCAUGUAACAAACUAAUACUUUCUAUUUUUUUAGAAUUGUGAUCACCACCCACUAAAAGUGAUUUUAUGACCCAGUAAGCCAGCACCUACAGUUUUAAAUACUGGUUUCUAACUCUCACUAUUGAGCAAUUACAAUUAUUUAUAAAACUACCAUAUGUUAGCUAUUGAAAGAAAAGGUACACAAAUAUCUAGUGUACUGUAUUCUAAACCAAGACAUUCUAGUUAAUGCUAACCAUUCUACUCUCAAAAGAGUCCACAAGUUUCAAAACGAUACUUUUAACAACUGUGUACAGUACAUCAAGCACCUUCAAAAAAACCCAAACUUACAAAUUUUUAUUGCCUUAACUACAAUACUCUGAAUAUACUAUAAACUAAUCAGACUACUAUACAGCAGAAAAACGGAUAAAAUGUUACUGUAUUUUUCUGAACUACAUUUAAAUUUAGAACUUAACAUUACAUUUUCUUAAACUACUGCAUGAUUUUCAGGCCAAUAAAAAUAAACGAGGACUGCUAAAUGCGGUUUUAACUAGAAGUGCCAAAAAAGCGAUACAUUAUCAAUAAAGUUAAAAAAAGAAAAAUCAUUCAGUCUUCCGAUUUACUUUAAGAAUUUCACACUCACUAUCCCCAAUGCCCUGAUGCCGUUUGCCAACCCGCUCAUAAAUGGAAAGUCAAUUUUAAAAAGCCUAAGAGUUGAAAAAUGUGCCAAAAACACACCCUCAACUCUGACACACAAGGCAGGGGGCCAGUCCCUACUGUAAAAAUUGUAAAGACCGAAGGCCACUGCCAGCCAAGGACAUAAAGGUUACGCAUUCCUCACACUCGAGUCCUCCGGGAACGUUUAUCAGCCAGCCCGCUUGCAGGGUGUGCAGCCCAAAUCAGUGCUGGGGCCGCUGGCGGUGGCCCUGGUCGCCGUGCACAAGACCGUCCCCCGGGAUCCCACUUCCUACCGCCCGCCCGGCCCCUCCCCCGCCAAGGACGGCCGCCGGUUGGACCCAGUCGCACAGCUGCUCCGUGGCCGGAGGCUGCACUUGGUGGGACGGAUUAGAGGCAGGGAGCCAGCCCAGGGCCUGCCAGCCAGCGAGCCCCGGCCCUCCCCCGC